UUUUUUUUUGUGAUUUUGUUGUCUGCACAUUCAACUAUGUAAAGAACAAAGUAUGUCAGAAAAAUAUUUAAUUCAUUCCGAUGUAGGAUGUGCUAUUUUUGUGUUCCCUUUAUUUUUUUGAGCAGUGUAUAUACAUACACUCACACACAUGCUGUUGUGUGUGUGGGGGUGCAGUAUGUGUGUGUGUGAGGGUGCUGUGUAAG